rnacentral:rRNA from 1 species
CGUGUCGUGAGAUGUUGGGUUAAGUCCCGCAACGAGCGCAACCCUCGUCCUUAGUUGCCAUCAUUUAGUUGGGCACUCUAAGGAAACCGCCGGUGAUAAGCCGGAGGAAGGUGGGGAUGACGUCAAGUCCUCAUGGCCCUUACGCGCUGGGCUACACACGUGCUACAAUGGCGGUGACAGUGGGCAGCAAUCUCGCAAGGGUGAGCUAAUCUCCAAAAGCCGUCUCAGUUCGGAUUGUUCUCUGCAACUCGAGAGCAUGAAGGCGGAAUCGCUAGUAAUCGCGGAUCAGCAUGCCGCGGUGAAUACGUUCCCAGGCCUU